ACUCUCGACAGUUGAUCACGAACCUCCAAAUAGUUGGUCACAAACAUUUUCAUACUACACCGCCCCACAAUCGCAACCUGCAAACACCACACCACGUCGCCACCAACGUUAACACUACCACCACCAUCACCACCGCAGCCGCCGCACCACUAACACCUCUAUUUCCAAACCACCAAGAAAACCCCAAAAUCGCCCACAUGUCAUGCCUUCUGCCGACUAGAUCAAACCACAACAAUCAAACCACCACCUCACCACCAACACCACAAAAACCAUCACAACCACCACCACUUAGGUCAUUACACCGGUGAAGAAGAAAAAACAACCUACAACCACCACAACUCAAUCACAACAACAACUUGUAACCACCACACCACAAUCG
rnacentral:lncRNA from 1 species